rnacentral:lncRNA from 1 species
UUGUUUUAUCUUACAGAUUUUCUCCACAUAACUUGUAAUUUCUAUGAUUUUUAGAGUUUUGUAUUAUUUUUGUAUCAUUCAUUCUUGAGAACAUAGGUGUCACUCGCUUAUUAGGCUUGAAUACUUACUGUUUAGAAACUUCAGGCUUUUUCUGUUAUUUCUUCUUUUUAACAUGAUUUUGAAUGUAGCCAUUAUGUGCUUUGUGUGGUUGCUUCUAAUUUUGGUGCAUCUAGAAUUUACUUGGACAUGUAAAAGAUGUAUGCUCUGAAAAGGAGUGACACUUUAUGAAAUGCAGCUAAACUUUUUUAUUUUAUUUUAUUUUGAGUAUUACUUAUAUAAUGUUAUAAAGGGUUGGUGAAUAAGAUAUCUUUAAAUUUCCCUAUUGUGUGAUAGCAAUUUGAGCAUUUAUGCUUAAUGCAAGGUAAUUUUACCAAGUGAUAAUUCUUGAUUCAAUGAAAAUAUCUGAUUUGUAUUUUGUACUGCAUAUUGAAGUAAGUCUAUAGUAUAUAGGAUACCUAUUUAUAGAGUGUCUAGGACCUAUAAACUACUGAUCAAAUAUACUAGAACCUACUAGAAUAUUCUUUAAUACACUAGAAUACUAUAUACUAACAUCCCCUCAAGUUGGAUGAAGGGGCAAAGCAACCAGAUGCAACUUGGAAACAAAAAAUUUGUGUUGUGGAGUGACCAAUGGCUUAGUGAAGAUGUCUGCAAGUUGAGAAGCUUUUUUGGAGUUGUUCUCUGACCAGAUGACAAUCAAUGUCAAGAUGUUUAGUUCUCUCAUACAAAACGGGGUUGUUAGCUAUGUGAAUAGCUGCUUGGUUAUCACACUGCAAAGAAAUAGGAAACUGCACAUUAACUCGCAAGUCUUUUAAUAUAUAUGAAACCCAUAAAAGCUUACACACGACAGCCCCCAUGCGUCGAUAUUCAGUUUCGACAGAGGAUUUAAAAAUUGUCUUCUGUUUUUUGGUCUUUCAGACAAAAGACAGUGACAGAUUGCCUAGAAAAGGAACAAAGUGGCUCAAUCUGCAUCACAAUAAGCUGAAAGAUUAGACAAGUUGAAUGUGGCAGAAAAAUAUAAUCCCUUAGAUAGAUAAGUCUUAAGAUAUCUUAAGAAAUGACAAGCGGCAUCCCAAUGGGGCUUUCUAGGACUUGACAUAAACUGACUGAGAUAAUGAACCGCAAAGCUAAUGUCAAGCGUAGUAAUAUUAAUAUAUAACAAUCUGCCAACUAGCCGCCUAUAUUUAUUAGGCUCAGAAAGUAAAUCACCAGCAAAAGGAUCAAGAUUCAAACCUUUGGGCAGAGGAGUAGAGGCAUUCUUAGCAUGUAACAUGCCGGUAUCACCUAAAACGUCAAAGAAAAAUUUCCUCGGAGCGAUAAGGGUAUCAGAAGUAGAUUUGCCAAUUUCUAAACUAAGAAAAUAUUUCAAAUAUUCAAGAUCUUUAAUAGUAAAUUUGCAAUGUAAAGCACAUUUAAUCUGAUCAAUGACAAACAGAAUUACCAAUUAUGAUCACAUCAUCUACAUAGAUAAGAAUAAUAGUAAAUGUACCAUUGUCAUCUCGUUUGAAAAGACAAUUAUCAUGUACUGAUUGAACAAAGCCUAAGGACUGGAGGAAGGACGUGAACUCCAAGUUCCAUUGCUGAGAAGCCUGCCUUAGACCAUAAAGUGAUUGUUUUAAUAAGCAAACUUGUCUUAGACUAGCUUUAGAAUAACCUGCAGGAGGCUGCAUGUAUACUUCUUCUUUCAGGAAACUAUGUAAAAAGGCAUUAUUAAUGUCAACUAAAAGAUUGCCAGUUUUUAGAAGUAGCUAAGGCAAUAAAAAUUCGGAUGGUAACAACUUUGGCUACAAUAGAAAAACGAUCUUUAAAAUCUAAUCCCUCUAUUUGGUUAUACCCCUUAGCCACUAAACGGACUUUAUAUCUGUCAACCUCCCCCAUUGGGCUUAGUCUUAACCUUGUAUAACCAUUUGGAACCAAUGGUCUUUUUACCUUUUGGAAGAUCAAUAAGUAUCCAGGUUCUAUUCUUUUCAAGAGCUAAAAGCUCAUGAUGCAUGGCUUUGACCCAAUUAUGGUCACUUGAAGCUUGAGUGAAAGUGCAAGGUUCAUGAAUGUGAGAAAUUGUGUUAAGGUAAGUGUAAUAUGAAGAUGUAAAGUGAACAGAUAAAUCAAAGUUAGAAGUAGUGGAUAAACGAUUCACAACAAAAUCUUGCAUCCAAGAUGGUUUAUUAUGAAUCUGGUGCUCUUUCUUAAAGGGAGAGUAGGAGAAAUGACCUGUUCCUAUGAAUGUGAUUGAGAAACACAAUCAGAUUGUGUUGGAGCCUGAAAAUUAGAGAAAGAACUUGAUGCAUCGUUAGGCAAAUUGACAGGAAGAACAGGAUUUGAAACAGAAGGCCCUUGAGAAGGAUGAUGUCGGAAAGGGAAAAUAGAUUUAUGAAAAAGAACAUCUUUGCUGACUGAUUUAUUUUGUGUCUAAGUUUUGUAAUCUAUAUCCCUUCUGAGUAGUGGAGUAUCCAAGGAGAAUACAUUUGGUAGAUCUAGGAUCAAACUUAUCUUUUUGAGGACUGUGAUUAAUGACAAAGCAUAAGCAACAAAUAGUUCUUAGGUGGUCAUAAUUGGGUGGUUUAUGAAACAAGGCUUCGAAGGGAGUUAACCAACCUAAAACUUUGACCGGUAUUCUGUUAAUGAUGUAGGUAGCAGCCAAUAUACACUCAGACCAAUAAGUUUUUGGAAAUUGAGCUUGGAUUCGGAUGGCCCUGGCUAUGUUGAGAAGAUGCUUAUGUUUAAUUUCUACUGUGCCGUUUUGUUAGGGUGUAUAAGGGCAAGUAGUUUGAUGGACAAUGCCGUGGGAAGAAAAUAAAAAAGCACACCUUUUAUUAAGAAAUUCUCUUCCAUUGUUGGAUCUUAUAUUUUUAAUUUUUGCUCCAAAUUGUUUAUUGACAUAUUGAAUGAAAGAUGUCAAAACAGAAUAUAUCUGAUCUUUAAACCUAAGCAUAUAGGUCCAAGUUGCUCUAGUUUUGUCAUCAACAAUGGUUAAAACAAAUCUAGCACUAGUGACAGAUUGAAUAGAAAAUAGUCCCCGUAAAUCUAUAUGCACAAAGUCGAAAGGAUUGAUAGUUAUAGUAUUACUGUUAUGAAAGAGUAAUCUAGACAUUUUAGCUAGAGGACAUAAGGCACAUGUGUGAUUAGUGUCAAUAAACUGCUUGAGCACAGGAAUAUGGGAUAUUUUAUGAUAAGAAGAGUGUCCUAAUUUAGUAUGAAGAACAGAGAAAGGAAUUUUUAUUAUGGAAUUUGCAAGAGAUGUAGUUUCUUUAUUGCAUUUUUGAAACUCAGCAACUUUUACAUUGAGAUUUGAAGUAACUUUAUUACAAAUAGAGUCAACACAGGACUGAAUAUUGGAAACAGAAAAACUACUAUUGUCUAAAAUGUAUAAUUUACUGAUUAUUUAGCCAACAGCUAUAAUAGACCUAUUCUUUUGGUCCUGAAAGAAGCAACAAGAUGAAUAAAACUGUACUGUCAAAUUGGUAUGUUUAAGCAAUUUAGACACAGACAAAAGAUUCAUAUUAAAAUCAGGAACAAGGAGAACAUCAAUUAAUUUUAUGUGUGUGCAAAGCAACAUUUCCAAUGUGUGAGACCUGUGUGGAAGAGCCAUUUGGCAAAUGCACUAUUAUUGGUGCAGGUGCAGAACAUAUAGAUAUCAUAUGACGCUUAUAUGGUGUGGCAUGAUGUAAUGCACUAGUAGCAAUGAUUCAUGCCUCUGUUCCAGUUACCAUAGCACAACAAGCAAAAACUGAAGAAAUUUUAUGAUUGAAGGUGCUGAAGUUAUUACCAGAACAAUCGGUUGGAUUGUAAGAGUAGGUUGAAUGCAAAUUAACUGUAUUUAUUGUAGCAACCGCUUUACCUUUGACCAACCUGCUCAUUUCUUGCUGCAGUAGUUCGAGUUUUGUAUUAACUUCAUCUAUUUUGCUUAAUUCGAUGGUGGCGAUCGAUGCAGCACCUGCCAGUGGUGUUUUUAGGACUGAUUCUACACUGUGACCUUCAACGUGUGAGAUGUGAGCUGUGUAUCUCGGUUUGAAUGCCUCUGGAUUGGUGAAUUGCUUGUUCUUGUUCUUAAAUCAUUCUGGAGCAUUCAGCUCGUGUAUGUCCAUCUAAAUUGCAGUAUUCACAGUGGCCCUUCCUCGCAUCAUACUUCCUGUAAUCUCGCCUGUUGCCUUGAGAUCGGACGGCUAAAGCAGCUACCUCAAUGUGUUCUGUGAGGUUGGUUUGGACUUCCUUUUGAGACUCUACCCGUAGAAUCAUCGAGAAAGGUUUGUUCACCGUGGGUAAUGGAUCCAGUAGCAGUACUUGAUUGCGAACUUGAUCAAAACUAUCGUUGAGCCCCAUUAGAAAUUGCAUUAGAUGAUCCGCAUUGUGGAUUUCUGUUGCCAGCUUCUCUGACCCGCAAUUGCAUGGAGGUAUCGUCACAAUGUUGGCCAAUUCGUCCCAUAGCUACUUCAAUUUGUUGUAGUAUGUUGUCAUAGAGAGAUUAUCUUGGGAGAUCGAUGUUAUUCUUUGCUUGAUUUGAUAGAUCAUUGGCCCGUUGCUUCCGUCGUAUCGUUCUCCUAAUUCGACCUAGAGCUCUCGAGCGGUGGUGGCAUAGAGGAAACUUUUGACAAUGUCCUUCAAAAUAGAAUUGAGGAUCCACGAUGUCACCAUAUAGUCGCAUCACCUCCAUCUGUCUUAAUCUUCAGAUCCAUCCUCAGGUAGGGCGAGUUUCCCUUUCAUGAACGCGAGUUUGUUCUUCGCACCGAGAACGGUUUUCAUCGCUCGAUUUCAGCCUCUAUAAUUGAUUUCGUUUAAUUGAACAGAGACGAGAACCAUUGCCGGAUUAUCUGAAUUUUGCAGCCCCAAGGUGUCAUCAACGAUUGUUUUGGAGAUCGUCGGAACCAAAUGGCUCUGUGACCUAGUAGAGCUUCUCUCCGCCAUUUCUCAUUGUGAGGAAAUAUUUCGGGAGGGAGAAGGGAAGAAGCUAGGUAAAUGGCUUUGAUACCAUUUUGAUUUAAUGAAAAUAUUUGAUCUGUAUUUUGUACUGUAUAUUGAAGUAAGUCUACAGUAUACAAGAUACCUAUUUAUAGAGUGUCUAGGACCUAUAGACUACUAAUCAAAUAUAUUAGAACCUAUUAGAAUAUUCUUUAAUACACUAGAAUACUAUAUACUAACAAUAAUAUUGUUGAAUAGUUUGUGUAACUUGUAUAUUGUGCCACUUAUUGUUGAGAUCUUCCUGGGAGAAAUUUUAAGGUGGAACAAUUAUACAAUUAUACAUGGAAUGACAAUUCCCUAGAAUUUAAAUUAGAUAAAAUAUAACUUAAAAAUAAAAAAGUGAACCCUAAAAAAAUUGGACAGUUUUUUCUUUUUGAUAAUUGUAUUUAAGAACAUAUUUCAAUUAUCGAGCCUGAGAAUUGGGAGAAUGUUUAGGAGCAGUUUUCCAGAUCUGUGUUGUAUUCAUUUAAUAUGUUAUGUUGUAGAAUGUAAGCAGUGUUUUCCACAGAAAAUGUCUGAUUUCUUAGGGAUCACUGGGUUCUUUUUUCUUGAGCCGUAACUACCAAUCAUAGGUAGACAAGUUAGGAAAACGGACGAGAAAUCCAGGUAAGGAUCCUCAUCUGGACUUUCUGUUCACCAUCCCAUGUCUUGAUCUAUAGAUAAGAACCAUAGCACUUAAUUCCCUAAGCUAGGUGAUUAAUAAACAUCUUACAUUAUUGCUGGUUAUAACCUACGAUGCUUGACUUUUGCUGUAACCACUUAUUUUCUUAGUACACCAACUGCUUUUAGAUAUUCCUAGGUCCACCAACUGAAUCAAUGCUAAGAGGAUGAGCCAAACUGUCGGCAAUAAUCCAUAUGAGUUGACUACCAUUUAGUCACAAAGCAAUUGAUAAGUUUGCUGUUGAAAAAUAUGCAAAUGAGUAUCUAGCAGUGAUCUUCCUUUUGAUGAGUUCUCUUGAGACUGGGAUGAAAACAUAGGGAAAUGUUCAGCGUCGAAUUCAGUUGUUUCUCUGCCUAUACAUCAAUCAGUAUUUGAGAGAAAUUUUCAAUAACUGAGUUUCAUGUAUAGUGUUCUGUAAAAUGGCAUGUAAACCGGAAUGGAUUGCAUGAGAAGCAAUAAGCUGCAUUGAAAUGGGAUGUCGAGAUCAGUCAAUGAAAUGAUCAGAUGUGAAACAGAAGCAUUUGGGAUAAGCUAGAACCCACUCUUAGUGAUGUCUGUUACUUUGUACAGAUUGGCAUGGAUUGAUUGAUUUAAAAAGCUGAAAAGAUGGAAUAGUGCAAGUAGCACACAAUAGGGUGAGAGAGCUCUCAAAAGAGAAGGGAAAGAGCGUGUUUCAGGUUCUAUUUCUCUAACUUGACAUGAUAGUUUCAACUUCAGCGAAAGGCAUUGUAAAAUUAAUCACUUGGUAUUGUACUUGCAAUGCCACCUUUUUCUAGUUCUAGAAGUGGUUGUUCUUUAACCUUACAUGCUGCCGGUAGGUAUACAAUUUCCAAUUGAUGCUAGCCACUUUGCAUCAGAUAGUGUGACUGCAGUUUGCUGGCCCAUGUUUCUGCAAAAUUUUGCCCCUUGAAGACACAAGUGCAGGUCUAUUGAUGAAAUUAUCAAAUGGUUGGUAGCAUAUCAAAUUGAUGGCUAUCGUUAGGGGGGAUCAACCAAGAGAACGUGGUUUUUAAUUUGAAAGUGAUGCCAGCACAAGGUUGUUGCUAAACUACAUGGACUAUGUUGUUGUUCCAGUCUCCAGUAUGGGCGUGUAUCAGGCUUCUCUUAUUUGUAGCACUAGGGAAAAUCUUCAUAAAACCUGGAUAAGAAUAUAUAGAAAAAUAAGUGAUUUUUAUGGUUUCAAGGAUGAUGGAGAGUAAUGGCAAAUGAAGGUUCUUUGCUGGUUAAUCCAAGAACGUUCAAAUUUUCGUCUGGAAUUGAACUGGCAGAUUGUGGUCCGGUUCAAAGACAAUUUUGAUCACUUCUAGUUCUGAACUGGGCGAACUGGCCAUUUAGUAAUAAGAAUCCAACAAACUGCCUGUCAGCAAGCAAGAAUGAAAUACAAAACCCACCUUCCAAAAUUUACUUCUUGAAGAUAUCCAUCUGAUCAAAUGGUAAAUAGAAUUGUGGUGAAAGGUGUCUUAUAAAUAGAAUCCCG